rnacentral:rRNA from 1 species
UACGUAGGGGGCUAGCGUUGUCCGGAUUUAUUGGGCGUAAAGAGCGUGUAGGCGGCUUGGCAAGUCUGCUGUGAAAACUCGAGGCUCAACCUCGAGCUGUCGGUGGAAACUGCUUGGCUAGAGUCCGGAAGAGGAGAGUGGAAUUCCUGGUGUAGCGGUGAAAUGCGCAGAUAUCAGGAGGAACACCGGUGGCGAAGGCGGAUCUCUGGGCCAUUACUGACGCUGAGGAGCGAAAGCGUGGGGAGCGAACAGG